rnacentral:rRNA from 2 species
CUAACACAUGCAAGUCGAGCGGAUGACAGGAGCUUGCUCCUGAAUUCAGCGGCGGACGGGUGAGUAAUGCCUAGGAAUCUGCCUGGUAGUGGGGGACAACGUUUCGAAAGGAACGCUAAUACCGCAUACGUCCUACGGGAGAAAGCAGGGGACCUUCGGGCCUUGCGCUAUCAGAUGAGCCUAGGUCGGAUUAGCUAGUUGGUGAGGUAAUGGCUCACCAAGGCGACGAUCCGUAACUGGUCUGAGAGGAUGAUCAGUCACACUGGAACUGAGACACGGUCCAGACUCCUACGGGAGGCAGCAGUGGGGAAUAUUGGACAAUGGGCGAAAGCCUGAUCCAGCCAUGCCGCGUGUGUGAAGAAGGUCUUCGGAUUGUAAAGCACUUUAAGUUGGGAGGAAGGGCAUUAACCUAAUACGUUAGUGUUUUGACGUUACCGACAGAAUAAGCACCGGCUAACUCUGUGCCAGCAGCCGCGGUAAUACAGAGGGUGCAAGCGUUAAUCGGAAUUACUGGGCGUAAAGCGCGCGUAGGUGGUUUGUUAAGUUGGAUGUGAAAUCCCCGGGCUCAACCUGGGAACUGCAUUCAAAACUGACAAGCUAGAGUAUGGUAGAGGGUGGUGGAAUUUCCUGUGUAGCGGUGAAAUGCGUAGAUAUAGGAAGGAACACCAGUGGCGAAGGCGACCACCUGGACUGAUACUGACACUGAGGUGCGAAAGCGUGGGGAGCA